GCCGGAUCAUUCGAGACGCAUUACCUGUGCACGUAAAAAAGGAUAAUAUCGCCUAAGGUCUGGAAUAACCCGGGCGAUAACCGAACAGCAGCGCAAUGUCAUAAUUUUCCAUCAGAGUUUUGCCAUCAGGCUACCGGUUCUGCUGAAGUGAUGCAAAUUGGCUGCAUCCCACCAUUGAUGACAUUGCGAGUUUGACACCCCUGGUGUAGAGGAAGCAACAAGAGCAUCAACUCUUUGUACCUCAAACCAAACCAAAGAAAAUAGAAUAGCAGAAACAUUGGAAAAGCAGCCCCCCUUGAGGAGAGUCGCCUCCAUGGAGCAGCAUAGCCAACGUCAUGGCAGCCGGGCAGUGGGGACAAGACUCCGCCCUCAUGCCGUCAUGCGUAGUUGAUGCUGUGGGGCGUGGGCAGAGGGCGUGGCCACCAUGGCGCUGCUGGGAUGCCUGGACAAUCUGCGGCGGGGCGUGGAGGUGGUAAGUGGCCCUAUGGGCAGACAGGGUGGGAAUGGAGCAGGGGUGGGUGGAGCAGGGGUGGUAUGGGGGCAGAGUGGUUUUUGGGCACUCGGUCUCUAAAAGAUCACUGGUAUAAGUUCUCCUGCUUGAGCAGGGGGCUGGACUAGAAGACCUCCAAGGUCCCUUCCAGCUUCUAUUUCUAUUCUAUUCUGUUCUGUUUUCUAUUCCUAUUCUCUUACAAAAUACUCCAAGAUGCACUAUGAUGUUUUGAUCUAUCUCUGUGAUAUGUGCUAGUAGGUUCCACUCUGUGAUAUUGUCACAUUGCUUUUAAUCUAUAGUUUUAGCUUUGCUGGAUUAAUAUGCUAAGCAGCUCAAUUUCAAUUUUUUUUCAUUGGCAGCUGAUCUCAGAGUAUAAUCAUACAUAUACUCAAUGAAGCAGGUAACCCUAUAUCAGCGGUUCUCAACCUAUGGGUUGCGACCCCAUUUGGGGUCGAACGACCAUUUCACGGGGGUCGCCAAACAACGCAGUCCGCCGUUUUUUUCCCCUUUUCCUUAGCUGUG